rnacentral:rRNA from 1 species
UUGACCUCGGAUCAGGUAGGGAUACCCGCUGAACUUAAGCAUAUCAAUGAGCGGAGGAAAAGAAACCAACCGGGAUUGCCCUAGUAACGGCGAGUGAAGCGGCAAGAGCUCAAAUUUGAAAGCUGGCUCCUUCGGGGUCCGCAUUGUAAUUUGCAGAGGAUGCUUCGGGAGCGGUCCCCAUCUAAGUGCCCUGGAACGGGCCGUCAUAGAGGGUGAGAAUCCCGUCUGGGAUGGGGUGCCCGCGCCCGUGUGAAGCUCCUUCGACGAGUCGAGUUGUUUGGGAAUGCAGCUCUAAUUGGGUGGUAAAUUUCAUCUAAAGCUAAAUAUUGGCCGGAGACCGAUAGCGCACAAGUAGAGUGAUCGAAAGAUGAAAAGCACUUUGAAAAGAGAGUUAAACAGCACGUGAAAUUGUUGAAAGGGAAGCGCUUGCGAUCAGACUCGCCCGCGGGGUUCAGCCGGCAUUCGUGCCGGUGUACUUCCCCGUGGGCGGGCCAGCGUCGGUUUGGGCGGCCGGUCAAAGGCCCCUGGAAUGUAACGCCUCUCGGGGCGUCUUAUAGCCAGGGGUGCCAUGCGGCCUGCCCGGACCGAGGAACGCGCUUCGGCUCGGACGCUGGCAUAAUGGUCGUAAGCGACC